rnacentral:rRNA from 1 species
GGAGGAAAAGAAACCAACAGGGAUUGCCUCAGUAGCGGCGAGUGAAGCGGCAAGAGCUCAGAUUUGAAAUCUCACCUAGUGUGCGAGUUGUAAAUUGCAGGUUGGAGUCUCGGGUUAGACGUGUGUGCAAGUCCCUUGGAACAGGGUGCCACUGAGGGUGAGAGCCCCGUAUCGUGCAUGUCGACACCUGUGAGGCCCUUCUGACGAGUCGAGUUGUUUGGGAAUGCAGCUCUAAGUGGGUGGUAAAUUCCAUCUAAGGCUAAAUAUUGGCGAGAGACCGAUAGCGAACAAGUACUGUGAAGGAAAGAUGAAAAGCACUUUGAAAAGAGAGUGAAACAGCACGUGAAAUUGUUGAAAGGGAAGGGUAUUGGGCUCGACAUGGGAUUUACGCAUCGUUGCCUCUCGUGGGCGGCGCUCUGGGUUUUUCCUGGGCCAGCAUCGGUUUUCGUUGCAGGAUAAGGACAAUUGGAAUGUGGCUCCUCGGAGUGUUAUAGCCUUUUGUAGAUGCUGCGUAUGGGGACCGAGGGCUGCGGCGGACUCGUUUCGUCUCGGAUGCUGGCACAACGGCGCAAUACCGCCCGUCUU